UCUUAUCUAAAUUUAAAAAAAAUACAUAGCCUGUAACUAUGACAUACAACCUAUUACUUGUGAUAAGAC
rnacentral:tRNA from 1 species